AUUGAACGCUGGCGGCAUGCUUUACACAUGCAAGUCGAGCGGCAGCGCGGGGGCAACCCUGGCGGCGAGCGGCGAACGGGUGAGUAAUGCAUCGGAACGUGUCCCGGAGUGGGGGAUAACGCCGCGAAAGCGGCGCUAAUACCGCAUAUGCUCUGAGGAGGAAAGUGGGGGACCUGCAAGGGCCUCACGCUCUGGGAGCGGCCGAUGUCCGAUUAGCUAGUUGGUGAGGUAACGGCUUACCAAGGCGACGAUCGGUAGCUGGUCUGAGAG
rnacentral:rRNA from 1 species